rnacentral:rRNA from 1 species
UACAGAGGGUGCAAGCGUUAAUCGGAAUUACUGGGCGUAAAGCGUGCGCAGGCGGUUCGUUGUGUCGGCGGUGAAAGCCCCGGGCUCAACCUGGGAAUGGCCGUUGAAACUGGCGAACUGGAGUGUGGCAGAGGGGGGUGGAAUUCCGCGUGUAGCAGUGAAAUGCGUAGAGAUGCGGAGGAACACCGAUGGCGAAGGCAGCCCCCUGGGCUAACACUGACGCUCAGGCACGAAAGCGUGGGGAGCAAACAGG